UCACCCUUCAAGCCCCCGGCUUGGUGUUGGACGGUUUGGUUUUGGUGACAAGACCCCUCUUAAAAUCAAUGACGGCGGCCUGUGCGACCCCCGGUACACUGAGCUUCUUAACUGAGCACGUAUCGGCCUCAGGGUAGACAGGACCCGGUCUUCUUCCUUGACCGGAAAAUUUUUUCCAAAGG
rnacentral:misc_RNA from 1 species